rnacentral:rRNA from 1 species
GCUUAACACAUGCAAGUCGAGGGGCAGCAUGACCUAGCAAUAGGUUGAUGGCGACCGGCGCACGGGUGAGUAACACGUAUCCAACCUACCGGUUAUUCCGGGAUAGCCUUUCGAAAGAAAGAUUAAUACCGGAUAGUAUAACGAGAAGGCAUCUUUUUGUUAUUAAAGAAUUUCGAUAACCGAUGGGGAUGCGUUCCAUUAGUUUGUUGGCGGGGUAACGGCCCACCAAGACAUCGAUGGAUAGGGGUUCUGAGAGGAAGGUCCCCCACAUUGGAACUGAGACACGGUCCAAACUCCUACGGGAGGCAGCAGUGAGGAGUAUUGGUCAAUGGACGAGAGUCUGAACCAGCCAAGUAGCGUGAAGGAUGACUGCCCUAUGGGUUGUAAACUUCUUUUAUAUGGGAAUAAAGUGAGCCACGUGUGGCUUUUUGUAUGUACCAUACGAAUAAGGAUCGGCUAACUCCGUGCCAGCAGCCGCGGUAAUACGGAGGAUCCGAGCGUUAUCCGGAUUUAUUGGGUUUAAAGGGAGCGUAGGCGGACUAUUAAGUCAGCUGUGAAAGUUUGCGGCUCAACCGUAAAAUUGCAGUUGAUACUGGUCGUCUUGAGUGCAGUAGAGGUAGGCGGAAUUCGUGGUGUAGCGGUGAAAUGCUU